GCCUCUGGGUGCCAUAGCAGCCUAAGGGCACCCCGGUUCAGAAGCUAAGCAGGGUCAGCCUGUCUGGGUUUUUAUGGGGUCCCCCUGGAAAGACAGCAACUGGAGGCU
rnacentral:rRNA from 1 species